CAUAGCUUAAUUGGUAAAGCAAGAACCUCUUAAGUUCGAGAGUCUCGGUUCGAAUCCGAGUGGGGGCACAA
rnacentral:tRNA from 1 species